CCUACGGGAGGCAGCAGUGGGGAAUAUUGCACAAUGGGGGAAACCCUGAUGCAGCGACGCCGCGUGAGUGAUGAAGUAAUUCGUUAUGUAAAGCUCUAUUAUCAGGGAAGAAAAUGACGGUACCUGAGUAAGAACGUCCGGCCAACUACGUGCCAGCAGCCGAGGGAAUACGUAGGGGGCGAGCGUUAUCCGGAUUUAAUGGGUGUAAAGUGAGCGUAGACGGCAGUGCAAGUCUGGCGUGAAAGGCGGGGGCUCAACCCCCGGACUGCUCUGGAAACUGUACGGCUGGAGUGCAGGAGAGGUAAGUGGAAUUCCUGGUGUAGCGGUGAAAUGCGUAGAUAUUAGGAGGAACACCAGUGGCGAAGGCGGCUUACUGGACUGUAACUGACGUUGAGGCGCGAAAGCGUGGGGAGCAAACAGGAUUAGAUACCCCUGUAGUC
rnacentral:rRNA from 1 species